AGUCGAACGGAUCCUUCGGGAUUAGUGGCGGACGGGUGAGUAACACGUGGGAACGUGCCCUUUGGUUCGGAACAACUCAGGGAAACUUGAGCUAAUACCGGAUGUGCCCUUCGGGGGAAAGAUUUAUCGCCAUUGGAGCGGCCCGCGUCUGAUUAGCUAGUUGGUGGGGUAAAGGCCCACCAAGGCGACGAUCAGUANCUGGUCUGAGAGGAUGAUCAGCCNNAUUGGGACUGAGACACGGCCCAAACUAAUACGGGAGGCAGCAGUGGGGAAUCUUGCGCAAUGGGCGAAAGCCUGACGCAGCCAUGCCGCGUGAAUGAUGAAGGUCUUAGGAUUGUAAAAUUCUUUCACCGGGGACGAUAAUGACGGUACCCGGAGAAGAAGCCCCGGCUAACUUCGUGCCAGCAGCCGCGGUAAUACGAAGGGGGCUAGCGUUGCUCGGAAUUACUGGGCGUAAAGGGAGCGUAGGCGGACUGUUAAGUUAGAGGUGAAAGCCCAGGGCUCAACCUUGGAAUUGCCUUUGAUACUGGCAGUCUUGAGUACGGAAGAGGUAUGUGGAACUCCGAGUGUAGAGGUGAAAUUCGUAGAUAUUCGGAAGAACACCAGUG
rnacentral:rRNA from 1 species